ensembl:lncRNA
AAAAUAUUCCAGUCAGGUACCUCUGAGUGCAACAGCAGUGUGAUGCAAAUAAGGAACAGAUAAUCAAAUCAAACUUUCUAAUCGAGUUUUGCUAUGCUGACUCUCUUAUUUCUUUCUACCCUGCAGUUUGCGUGUUGUUUUACAACACUGCAAAAUUUGCCUGAAGAGUAAAUAUUUGUGAGUUUUCAGAAUCUUGUCAUGUCCCACAAAGGAAAAUAAUUUUCCUGUGCUACUUCUACUAUUACCUUGAUUUCACCGUGGGAAGGUACAGAUCUAAUCCUUUGGAAGGGGGGAACUAUGAGGUGAAGAAGCAGCCAGAGGAGUAAAACAGGGUUUUGAUAUAAAUUUGGCCAGUUGAGAAUGCUGAACAGAACCUCAGCUGAAGUGAACUGAUGCAACUAUUGAGAAGCUGUCUUGUUGAAGAACAGAAGUGAGAAAUAAUCUGGAUGGGUAUCUGGUAGCCAACCAAGGAUGCAGGACACAGAAAUCUCCUUUCUGG